UUUGUCCUACGGGGGGCAGCAGUGGGGAAUAUUGCACAAUGGGGGAAACCCUGAUGCAGCGACGCCGCGUGAAGGAAGAAGUAUUUCGGUAUGUAAACUUCUAUCAGCAGGGAAGAAAAUGACGGUACCUGACUAAGAAGCCCCGGCUAACUACGUGCCAGCAGCCGCGGUAAUACGUAGGGGGCAAGCGUUAUCCGGAUUUACUGGGUGUAAAGGGAGCGUAGGCGGUAAUGCAAGUCAGAAGUGAAAGCCCGGGGCUCAACUCCGGGACUGCUUUUGAAACUGUGUUACUAGAUUGCAGGAGG
rnacentral:rRNA from 1 species